CGGGGUGUAGCUCAGGGGCAGAGCGCUGCGUUCGGGACGCAGAGGUCGCACGUUCAAUUCGUGUCACCCCGACCA
rnacentral:tRNA from 1 species